rnacentral:tRNA from 1 species
AGGGGUGUAGCUUAGUGGCAGAGUGCUUGCCUAGCAUGUGGAAGGCCUGGGAUUAGAUCCCCAGCACCUCAA